GUCCCGCCUGCCCUGUGACUAUUAGUUUAACGGCCGCGGUAUUUUGACCGUGCGAAGGUAGCGCAAUCACUUGUCUUUUAAAUGGAGACCCGUAUGAAUGGCAUAACGAGGGCUUAACUGUCUCCUUUUUCAAGUCAAUGAAAUUGAUCUCCCCGUGCAGAAGCGGGGAUGCAAACAUAAGACGAGAAGACCCUAUGGAGCUUUAGACACCAGAGCAGCCUGCGUUAAGCACCCUGAAUAAAGGACUAAACCGAGCGGGCCCCGCCCUAAUGUCUUUGGUUGGGGCGACCGCGGGGAAUCACAAAACCCCCACGUGGAGUGGGAGCACUUCUCCUACAAUCAAGAGCCACAGCUCGAGAAAACAGAACUUCUGACCAACAAGAUCCGGCAAUGCCGAUCAACGGACCGAGUUACCCUAGGGAUAACAGCGCAAUCCCCUUUUAGAGCCCAUAUCGACAAGGGGGUUUACGACCUCGAUGUUGGAUCAGGACAUCCUAAUGGUGCAGCCGCUAUUAAGGGUUCGUUUGUUCAACGAUUAAAGUCCUACGUGA
rnacentral:rRNA from 1 species